CCUACGGGAGGCAGCAGUGGGGAAUAUUGCACAAUGGGGGAAACCCUGAUGCAGCAACGCCGCGUGAAGGAAGACGGUUUUCGGAUUGUAAACCUCUAUCAAUAGGGAAGAAAGAAAUGACGGUACCUAUAUAAGAAGCCCCGGCUAACUACGUGCCAGCAGCAGCGGUAAUACGUAGGGGGCAAGCGUUAUCCGGAAUUACUCGGUGUAAAGGGAGAGUAGGCGGCAAGGUAAGCGAUAUGUGAAAGCCUUAAGCUUAACUAAAGGAUUGUAUAACGAACUAGCUAGCUAGAGUACAGGAGAGGAAAGCGGAAUUCCUAGUGUAGCGGUGAAAUGCGUAGAUAUUAGGAAGAACACCAGUGGCGAAGGCGGCUUUCGGGACUGAAACUGACGCUGAGGCUCGAAAGCGUGGGGAGCGAACAGGAUUAGAUACCCUUGUAGUC
rnacentral:rRNA from 1 species